rnacentral:rRNA from 1 species
UACGUAGGGGGCAAGCGUUGUCCGGAUUUACUGGGCGUAAAGGGCUCGCAGGCGGUUUUGCAAGUCAGGGGUGAAAUCUUGGGGCUUAACUCUGGAACUGCAUUUGAUACGGCAUAGCUUGUGUGCGGUAGAGGAGGAUGGAAUUCCUGGUGUAGCAGUGAAAUGCGUAGAUAUCAGGAAGAACACCAGUGGCGAAGGCGGGCAGCUGGGCCGCUACAGACGCUGAGGAGCGAAAGCGUGGGGAGCAAACAGG